rnacentral:lncRNA from 1 species
GCACUUAUAAAAAACCUUAGCAAUGAUCCAAUAGAGAGCAUGAAACAAAUGCACUACUUUAGCCAAAAUAGUAAAACAAAAUCUGAACAGCAUCAUGAACCAGGAAAACAAAACAAAACAAAAAAUGCUAUUCUUCCUUCAAACAAAACCAAGCUCUCAUUCCCCUGACAUGAAGAGAGAAUGUGGUUCUAGGUGUUGGCUCCCUGCAAAGAUGUGCACAGGCAAGAUGGUCCAGGGAAGGAGUGAAGUCAGGAAAGGAGUUUGCACACUGAGGCUGUGCCAUGCACAGUGCUAAGGGAAAUUUAUAUGCAUUAUUUCACGUAAGCCUCACAGCAAAUCUAAAAAGAGAGGUAGUAGUACUGUUGUUCUCAUUUAACAGGUGAGGAAUUGGGGCUUCAGUAACUUGCCCAAGAGCACCCAAAUAAAACAGUCUCCAGGGCUAUUCUAAUCCCAUGUGUAAGGGAUUCAAUCCAAAUCCAUCUGGAUUCUGAAUCCCAUGCCUUUACCAGCAUGUUCCAUGGAAUUAUUGCUGAAUAUUAAUUACACGUAGUUGGUUACUUCCAAUCUCUUUCUGGAGAAUCUGAGGUUCAGAAAGUUGAAGAGACUACCCAAACCUAGCUUGGAGCAGAACUGAGGCUUGGACCCCCCUGGGCCAGGAUAUUUCUACCAUGCUAUGGGACCAUUCAGUUCAAAAAGCUGAAAACUCUGAGGGGAUAUUGUUAAAUUCUAGAAGAUCACAAGGGAUGUGGAGUGAGUAAACUUAGAAUCUUUCAAAACCCAAUAGUGUAAAAAUACUAACUGGGAACCAUUCUGGAAGCUUGACAGAGAUGCAUUUACAAGAGGAGUGCUAUGAUAAAUGCGGUAAUGAACUUGCAGGACUCACCACCCCUAAGAAGCAGCAGAGACUGAGAUCAGGGAUUCAAACACAGGGUUAAGUUUUACCUUUAUUUAUUUGUUCAACCAAGCACUGCCGACCACUGUUUAGGUAUUUGUUAUGACCUGAAAUGUGCUUCCCUCUGGGGGGAAAAAAAAUGUGUAUGUUG